GGUGAUGUUACUGAGAUUAUACUAUUACACCAUCGGGAUUUCUGUUGUUUUCUACUGUAGAUCUAUAGAGUAAUUACCUAAAUCCUCAUUCAGAGUGUAUUACUAUAAAAUGCAAUUCAUUGUGAGAGUAGUAUCACAUGUAAACUACAAUAUACAGCAUCAUUUUUAACUUGAGUAAAUUGCAGCUACACUAUUUGAAGCAUUUGAAGUAUAACUGAAGUAUACUAAGAAGUACAACAAAAUACCCAGCAAGCAUUGCAGUGCUUUAACUGUAAAAUUAAAAUAACUAUGAAACAAAUAAUUGAUGUUUUAAACAAGAAUUUGUCACAAAUUCUUGUGUAAUGUCUUUUACCUUCUGAACAGAGUAAGUGGGAUAAAAAAAAAAAAUGUUUAAACCGUGAGUGAAAAGGGUUAAUAGUUAAUAAACCUCAACUCUCAAAUCAUUUUCUCACCUGUUUGCAAUAUAAUUCUGGUACGUGAACUAUGAGUGUAGUUCUCUGCAAAGGAAGCCUUCUGAUAGUUGGAACUAUUAUCUGACUGUCUGGGGAAUGGAGUGAUUAGUUACAUGUGAAAAAUAUGUUUCAACUGGAUUUUAAUUACUAUGUUUCAACCAGAAGUAACUCAAAUAUAAACUAAAAAGUAAAUCAAUAGUAUACUUGUAAGUUUAGUAUUGUGUUAGAGUAGAGUAUAUUUUAAGUAUACUCUUAUAGACUGGAAAGGACAUUAUGCUAGUACAGUUAUAGUGAAAAAAGAGUACAUCCAAAAGUUCAUUUCAAGUAUACUUCUAUAUACUAAAACGGGGGCCAAUGUAGGUAACGUAUACUUAGACUGAUUUCCUUUCUAUAUGUUACAUUUAGAGUAAUGUUUAAAAGUUACUUCAUUUAGCAGGGUGUAGCUUUUUUCUCUUCUUAUUCUUUUUUAUACUGGAACUUCAUUUUUUCUGUAUAAGGUGGUAUUUUUAAGACACCUCUGCCCAACUACAGUGAACUAACCAGAAGUCUCGAAAUAUGCUCUGGUGGUCAUUAAGUUCAGGUGUCACAUCCAUGAAACCUACACCACUAACCAGCAUCAGUCCUACAACUUCACUCUCAAAUUUAAUAAAUUCUGGGACAAGCAGAAACUGCAUUUUUAGCGGUGCAUUUUGUGGCAGGCCAGACUGCUAUAAAAUGCACUCUCCUUGUAGCACCACUUCAUCUUGGUUCAGAAGAGAUGUCCUGGAUAUACAUGAUAAUGUAACACGGGUGUUUUUGUUUGUUCAUGUUUAGCGCGUUGGGUUGUGUUUUUAAAGCGAAUGUUACGUUUUUAAAGCGUGUUAUGCGACAGGUGUGUGUAGCACUGGUUACACAUCUCAAUGGGAGCGCAUUAGUCGAGACCACACCUUUACCUGACGUACAACGUGACGUAUGGCGCACACUUUCAAAACAACAAUGGCGGAUAGAAGAUAUUGAUCGAGGCGGCUAAUGCUCCUUUCGCUGGUUGCCAACCACCAUUAAAUAACAAGAAGAAGAAAAUAUUGAUCUGCUUUUCUUAGUUUUGCACGUUUAAGACGCAAUUCAAACUCAAACAAAGCUGCAAAGCAGGAGAACAACAUGACCAUCAACUAUUCUGUGCCACAGAUCCAGUUCGCUGCAGCACACAGUGAUGAUGAGAUGGUGGAAGAACAACAGGGACAAUUUACGGACCGUUAACAUGUGCAACUUAGAAGUAGUCAGAGGUAACUGGAUGGAGUUCAGUCAGGUUAAAUGCACGGUUGAUUGGAUUAUGUCUGAAGAUCGUAUGCUAUUCGUGACAACUCUGCUAGACUCCAAAUUGCUCGUCCAUGAGGGAUUAUCUCAAAAGUAAAUGAAACAACUAAACUUGACACUUUUUCCCUAAAACGGACUGACAUGGGAAACAUUAAAGUUGGAUUGACACCAGCUAAUCAGUCUGAAGGACAAAGUUCAAUGACCGCCACCUGCUGGAUGGUGAGUGCAGAGGGGCGUGUAAUUGUUGAGCUGGACAAAGAGAAUAUCUUUGCUGAUGCGAUGUCAGUCUUCUUUGGUUCAUUCUAUGUAUUGAACCUGGAAUACCAGGAGUCAGCAUGUGCAACAUUGGAACUAAUUCAGAGGUUUUUUGUAAGGAUAAACCCUGAAGAGGGAACAAAAUGUACCUCCAAGGUUGGGACAAGCAGAAAGACUGGGACCACUGUGAAGCGAAAGAUGAUCCAUGGCCCAUGCUUUCUGGACAUUUACACAAGACGAACAUCAAUGAAGACAAGCUCUCUCGCCAUCUUGCAAGACGCUGUCUCUGUCCAAUAGGUUUUUUGAGUGCAACAGUUUUGAUUUUUUU